AUACGGAGGGUGCAAGCGUUACUCGGAAUCACUGGGCGUAAAGCGCGCGCAGGCGGGCUGAUAAGUUGGAUGUGAAAGCCUACGGCUCAACCGUAGAACUGCAUCCAAAACUAUUUAGCUAGAGUGUGAGAGAGGAAGAUGGAAUUAGUUGUGUAGGGGUAAAAUCCGUAGAGAUAACUAGGAAUACCAAAAGCGAAGGCAAUCUUCUGGAACACUACUGACGCUGAGGCGCGAAGGCGUGGGGAGCAAACAGCAUUAGAAACCCGAGUAGUCC
rnacentral:rRNA from 1 species